rnacentral:rRNA from 1 species
CAGUCGCCGCGGUAAUACGAGGGGGGCAAGCGUUGUUCGGAAUUAUUGGGCGUAAAGGGCGCGUAGGCGGUUUGGCAAGUUUGGUGUGAAAUCUUCGGGCUCAACUCGAAGUCUGCAUCGAAAACUGCCGGGCUUGAGUAUGGGAGAGGUGAGUGGAAUUUCCGGUGUAGCGGUGAAAUGCGUAGAUAUCGGAAGGAACACCUGUGGCGAAAGCGGCUCACUGGACCAUUACUGACGCUGAGGCGCGAAAGCUAGGGGAGCAAACAGGAUUAGAUACCCUAGUAGUCCCUGUCUCUUAUAC